GUAGAGGAUGCUUCUGGGCAGCGGCCGGUCUAAGUUCCUUGGAACAGGACGUCAUAGAGGGUGAGAAUCCCGUAUGCGACCGGCUCGCACCCGUCACGUAGCUCCUUCGACGAGUCGAGUUGUUUGGGAAUGCAGCUCUAAAUGGGAGGUAAAUGUCUUCUAAAGCUAAAUACCGGCCAGAGACCGAUAGCGCACAAGUAGAGUGAUCGAAAGAUGAAAAGCACUUUGGAAAGAGAGUUAAAAAGCACGUGAAAUUGUUGAAAGGGAAGGGCAUGCAACCAGACUUGUCGGCGGUGUUCCGCCGGUCUUCUGACCGGUUCACUCGCCGCCGACAGGCCAGCAUCAUCUGGGAGCGCCGGAUAAAGGCGUGGGGAAUGUAGCUCCUCGGAGUGUUAUAGCCCCGCGCACAAUACGGCGCCUCCCGGGUGAGGUCCGCGCUUCGGCUAGGAUGCUGGCGUAAUGGUUGCCUGCCGCCCGUCUUGAAACACGGACCAAGGAGUCUAACAUCUAUGCGAGUGUUCGGGUGUCAAACCCCUACGCGUAAUGAAAGUGAACGGAGGUGGGAACCCUCACGGGUGCACCAUCGACCGAUCCUGAUGUCUUCGGAUGGAUUUGAGUAAGAGCAUAGCUGUUGGGACCCGAAAGAUGGUGAACUAUGCCUGAAUAGGGUGAAGCCAGAGGAAACUCUGGUGGAGGCUCGCAGCGGUUCUGACGUGCAAAUCGAUCGUCAAAUUUGGGUAUAGGGGCGAAAGACUAAUCGAACCAU
rnacentral:rRNA from 1 species